rnacentral:rRNA from 1 species
AGGGCGGGGUGACGCGACGGGUGCUGCCAGUCUGGAGUGGUCCUAGGAGACGCGACACGCGAUGGGUGUAAAGUGUGGGUGUGGCGUUGUUUGAGCAGCAGCGGCAGCAGCGGUCCAGAGUGAGAGCGGUGGGAGGAGCGGAGCGGAGCGGAGAGUGGGUGGUCCGGUGGUGAGAGAAAGAGGGAGGGAGAGACAGACAGAGUAGACGGAGACCGGAAAGGUCCUUUGCGUACACUGGGCGACGCCGGACUCCGCUUAAGAGAGGACCACAGGCACAGGCAAACUACGAGUUCCUCCUGUCCACCCCUCCCUGCCUCCCCUAGUACCUGAAGUCCUCGUCGUUGCCGCCCAGCAGGAGCCUCGCGUCCGGCCGCCUGCCCCGCGGCGACUGCUCCGUCCCCAGGUAGAUGAGGGAGUGCAAGCUCCUCAAGGUCUCGUGCGAGCCGCCCCCGCGGCCGCACCCUCCGUCGCUGGAGCCCUUCCUGAAGUCGAGGUACUUGUACCUGCUCGACGAGGCCUCGUAGACCUGGCGGCUCCUCUCGGUCCGGUACCGACGGAGGCGGAGCCCGCGCCCGCGCCCGCGGCCGGGCGGCGGGUGCAGCGACGUCCCGGUCCCGAGCGAGUGCGACGGGGCGUGGGAGUCGCGGUUCUGCCAGCUGCUCCACACCGCGUUGGAGCACGCGCUACUGGGCGAAGGCCACCCCGGCCUCCCACGGCUCGGCGUCGGGGUAGCCGUCCGCUGCGAGCCCCUCUACUGGGACCUCCUCAAGGACCAGUUUCGGCCGCACCACGCUCUCUAGGGGUGGCGAGGACGUCACGGCGGGGGCGGGUACGUCGGCGCCGGCCAGGGACAACAGGGAUUUCCGGGAAGGAAGAUGCCCUUGAAGGGCUCGCGGUUGCUGCGGCCACGCCGCCGCGACCCCAAGCGCGGCCAGCGGUACCCCCUAGACCGGUACCCGUUACCCGAGUACGGCUCCCGUCAACCAUACCCUCCGCGGGGAGACCAACACGUUUGACGCCAGUUGGGCCAACUAAGACCGUCGUUCCCCUCGCUCCUAGACAGUAGCGGCAGGCUUGGUUACGGCAUGAGCAAGCUCCCCUAACACUCCCCCUCCUCCUGACCGCCGCCGCACCUCUUCCACCACCUCUCCUCCGUCUCCUCCUACUAGUUCUUGUCCCUCAGGCGGCGAUCCAGGGCGCGGGCGUUCGUCCGAAUAUGUUACCUCAACCUUCGACUUCAAGUCUUCGAGUUCCUGGACUUGGUCCUUGACCACUCCUUUGUCCGUCUCUAUGACCUUUACGUCUUUUCUCUCGUCCGGGGACUCUACUUCCUAGUCAAGCCUGCCUUCUUCGCCGUCACGAACGCUUCUUGCAACUGGCCGGGGACCACUCCUAGCUCCUCAGUUAACCGUAGCCGUAAGGUGGCCAGCUGGACGAAACAUGUAUAUUAAGCGAGAUAACAUUUGGCUACUACCUGGUCUGGACACGAACCAACUGGACGAUCGAAGGAAAGAGCACGACGAAGUCUCUGGCGACUGGACAUCCGAUCACACAUCAGCUCCUCCCCUCGGCAUUCUUGGCGACAUUAGACCGUCAGGAAGUCUUAGAUCACACAUCUCGAACAGACCCAAACGUAUUGUAGUCAGAAGAAGAAGAAGAAGAAAAAGAUUGAAACGCGGCAUCUUCUGAUCGAUCUAUUCAACCCAAACUCAAAGUCUCCAGCUACAUUCAUUCGGUACCCUAGGCUCUUCGUAGGAUGUGGGCCGAAGUACAAACCGAUCAGUUGGCUUCAAACAUAUAGGACAACCGACAUCAAAAUUCUGAACGAAAUACGAAAGUCGCCCUAUAUCCGUCUGAACAGUGUAAAACUUACACAACGAAUAUAGACGAGGACAAUUAGCGGAC